AGAUAAUGAGUAUUUUACAAUAGAUUGAUCACCUUGUGUAGGACGCAUUCUCUGUAUAGGGAGGUACACUAAAAAGAAGUCUAAAACAAACUACAAUAAUGUACGAACUAAGAACAAAUCAAUUUACUAAUGAGAAUUCAAACAAAUCACGUUUAUAUUAUGUAGGGAAAUAUUUUAUUAAUUAUCUAACUACCUAUUUUACGAAUUUAAUUCAAUAUACUGUUAAAAUAAACUUAUUUACAACUCUGUUUCAGGAAUGGAAUUACAAAGAAAACAAUCAGGUUUGGCAAAUGCUUUGUGUUCAUUUUACUAUAAAUCCACACGUAUUUUUAAAAUUUGGUAUCGAUUAUCUGUAACCGUGUCAUCUACGUCAGUCAAACACGUCAAUAUAUUUAAAACAUAUUAAUACUACACUAUUCUAUACUUUACAGUAUACAUAUAUAUAAUUAAGAAUAUAAAAUGUCAAUCAAUAUAAUUAUAUUAUAAUAUAGGUAGUUCAGUUUCUGUUU